rnacentral:rRNA from 1 species
GGCCCGGGAUAGCCCAGGGAAACCUGGAUUAAUACCGGAUGAGACGGGACCCGCGAAGGCGGACCCGGGAAAGGCGCUGCGGCGCCGCCGGGGGGAUGAGUCUGCGUCCCAUUAGCUAGACGGCGGGGUAACGGCCCACCGUGGCGACGAUGGGUAGCCGGCCUGAGAGGGUGGACGGCCACAUUGGAACUGAGACACGGUCCAGACUCCUACGGGAGGCAGCAGCUAAGAAUCUUCCGCAAUGGGCGAAAGCCUGACGGAGCGAACCGCCGCGUGAACGAAGAAGGCCGUGAGGUUGUAAAGUUCUCUUCGGGAGGGGAACAACCGUGGCAGGGAAUGGCCGCGGGAUGACGUGAAUCCCGGAAUAACGCCCCGGCUAACUACGUGCCAGCCGCAGC